UGGGGGAUAUUGCACAAUGGGGGGAACCCUGAUGCAGCGACGCCGCGUGAGUGAAGAAGUAAUUCGUUAUGUAAAGCUCUAUCAGCAGGGAAGAAGAAAUGACGGUACCUGAGUAAGAAGCCCCGGCUAACUACGUGCCAGCAGCCGCGGAUAAUAGGCGAUAGGGGGUCAACGGCGUUUAAUCCGGGAUUUAAGCUGGGUGUAAAGGGAGCGUAGACGGCGAUGCAAGCCAGAUGUGAAAGCCCGCGGCUCAACUGCGGGACUGCAUUUGGAACUGUAUGGCUGGAGUGCAGGAGAGGCAGGCGGAAUUCCUAGUGUAGCGGUGAAAUGCGUAGAUAUUAGGAGGAACACCAGUGGCGAAGGCGGCCUGCUGGACUGUAACUGACGUUGAGGCUCGAAAGCGUGGGGAGCAAACAGGAUUAGAUACCC
rnacentral:rRNA from 1 species